rnacentral:lncRNA from 1 species
CUCUCGAUCUUAGAUUAUCGUGAGAAGGAAUCAAAACGCUGUUUUAGCUAGUCGCAAGUGAAGACUCUACGUUGGGAGAGAAGCAGAAUUGUUUUUCGAGAAGUGUUUGUAUGGAUGUGUUCUAUUACUGAGAAUGUGAGGUGGUUAGCGGUGGUCGUUGGAGGUGGUCGGAGGUGGUAAGGGGUGGUUACAGGUGAUCGAGGUGGACGAGGAGAACUAGGUGGACGAGGAGGACGAGCAUUUCUGCGCGAUAUAACUCGUGGUGGUUUGCGGUGGCUGUUGGGGGUGGUUGGCGGUGGUCGGAGAUGGCCGAGGAGGAGGACGAGGAAGACGAGGAUUUAUGCUCGGUAUAACCCGAGGUGGUCAGCAGUGGU